rnacentral:tRNA from 1 species
GGGAAUGUGACUCAGUGGUAGAGUGCUUGCCUGGCAUGCAUGAAGCCCUGGGUUCAAUUCCUCAGUACCA